AUACUUACCUGGUGCAGGGGCCUCGUUGAUUACCGAGGGCGAGCCAACAGGGCGAGGUGCGGGCAUGCGCUUGCGUUGACCCCCUGCCACUGCCCCAAGCUGGGGCAGGUGGGGCAUGCAAAUUCC
rnacentral:snRNA from 1 species